rnacentral:misc_RNA from 1 species
AAGUACAUAAAAAAGAAAGUUAAUGGCUUAAUUUUCUAUUGAUUUAUUUUUCUAAUAUGCUUUUCCUAUCUCGAGUUUCUCGUAAUUUUUCUUUCAUAUGACCAUAUUCUAUUUCAUUCUCUUUCCUCUCUCAUUCUCAUCUCCAAACAAGCUCUCUUGUUGAUUUUCCUCAAUCAAUUAGCUCUUCAAUAAGCUCAUUCUUAGUGAAAUUUAAAUGCAAUCCUUUAUCUUUUAAAUUUUGAUUCUGUG